GUACCCGCUGAACUUAAGCAUAUCAAUAAGCGGAGGAAAAGAAACCAACAGGGAUUGCCCUAGUAACGGCGAGUGAAGCGGCAACAGCUCAAAUUUGAAAUCUGGCGUCUUUGGCGUCCGAGUUGUAAUUUGCAGAGGGCGCUUUGGCAUUGGCAGCGGUCCAAGUUCCUUGGAACAGGACGUCACAGAGGGUGAGAAUCCCGUACGUGGUCGCUAGCCUUUACCGUGUAAAGCCCCUUCGACGAGUCGAGUUGUUUGGGAAUGCAGCUCUAAAUGGGAGGUAAAUUUCUUCUAAAGCUAAAUACUGGCCAGAGACCGAUAGCGCACAAGUAGAGUGAUCGAAAGAUGAAAAGCACUUUGGAAAGAGAGUUAAAAAGCACGUGAAAUUGUUGAAAGGGAAGCGCUUGCAGCCAGACUUGCCUGUAGUUGCUCAUCCAGGUUUCUACCUGGUGCACUCUUCUAUAGGCAGGCCAGCAUCAGUUUGGGCGGUUGGAUAAAGGUCUCUGUCAUGUACCUCUCUUCGGGGAGAACUUAUAGGGGAGACGACAUGCAACCAGCCUGGACUGAGGUCCGCGCAUCUGCUAGGAUGCUGGCGUAAUGGCUGUAAGCGGCCCGUCUUGAAACACGGACCAAGGAGUCUAACAUCUAUGCGAGUGUUUGGGUGUCAAGCCCGAGCGCGUAAUGAAAGUGAACGGAGGUGGGAACCUUUCGGGGUGCACCAUCGACCGAUCCUGAUGUCUUCGGAUGGAUUUGAGUAAGAGCAUAGCUGUUGGGACCCGAAAGAUGGUGAACUAUGCUUGAAUAGGGUGAAGCCAGAGGAAACUCUGGUGGAGGCUCGCAGCGGUUCUGACGUGCAAAUCGAUCGUCAAAUUUGGGCAUAGGGGCGAAAGACUAAUCGAACUAUCU
rnacentral:rRNA from 1 species